rnacentral:rRNA from 1 species
UAUCACUAAGGGGAGGAAAAGAAACUAACAAGGAUUCCCCCAGUAACGGCGAGUGAAGCGGGAAGAGCCCAGCACCGAAUCCCCCGGCCCUGCGGCCGGCGGGAACUGUGGUGUUCGAGUCGUGAGUUGUCGACCUCGCCCGUCGCCCAAGUCCUCUCGAUUGGGGCCUUUCCCAGAGUGGGUGUCAGGCCUUUACCGGCGCCACGGGCGGGUCGGCUCCGAUCGACUCAAGAGUCGGGUUGUUUGGGAAUGCAGCCCAAAGCGGGUGGUAAACUCC